CCUACGGGUGGCAGCAGUAGGGAAUAUUGCUCAAUGGGGGAAACUCUGAAGCAGCAACGCCGCGUGGAGGAUGACGGUUUUCGGAUUGUAAACUCCUUUUGUUAGAGAAGAUAAUGACAGUCUCUUACGAAUAAGCACCGUCUAACUCCGUUCCAGCAGCCGCGGUAAUACGGAGGUUGCAAGCGUUACUCGGAAUCACUGGGCGUAAAGAGCGCGUAGGCGGGAUAGUAAGUCAGAUGUGAAAUCGUAUGGCUUAACCAUAGAACUGCAUUUGAAACUGUUAUUCUAGAGUAUGGGAGAGGUAGGUGGAAUUCUUGGUGUAGGGGUAAAAUGCGUAGAGAUCAAGAGGAAUACUGAUUGCGAAGGCGGCCUGCUAGAACAUAACUGACGCUGAUGCGCGAAAGCGUGGGGAGCAAACAGGAUUAGAUACCCGGGUAGUC
rnacentral:rRNA from 1 species